GGGCGUUUAGCUCAGGGGGAGAGCGCUUCCUUGACGCGGAAGAGGCCAUAGGUUCAAAUCCUAUAACGCCCA
rnacentral:tRNA from 1 species